rnacentral:rRNA from 1 species
AUGAAGGUGUGCCAAGGGAGCAGCUCCUCCUGGCCUGCGCACGGCAGUGGACAUCGACGAAGACGACCACAACGGACGAGGGGUGGAGAAAGUGGUGAUGAUUGCGCGGCACCCAGGGGUGGCCCACGCGAUAACACAUGCCACAAUUGUGGGCGUCAUGGCCAUUGGGCCAAGGGGCGAAGGCAGCCUACGAAAAACAUGGCUCUCCUGGCCCAAACAGAGGAAGACGAUGAGGAGCCUUCACUCCUCAUGGUGCAGGUCUGUGCCACUCCAGCCCCAGCAACAGAGGUGCAGGACAGCAUCACUCCAGCCCCAGCCAUGAAGGUCCAAGACAGCAUCACUCCAGCCCCAGCCAUGGGUACUGUGCGACUAAUGACGAACUAG